rnacentral:rRNA from 1 species
UACGGAGGGGACUAGCGUUGUUCGGAAUUACUGGGCGUAAAGCGCACGUAGGCGGCUUUGUAAGUCAGGGGUGAAAUCCCGAGGCUCAACCUCGGAACUGCCUUUGAUACUGCAAAUCUCGAGUCCGGAAGAGGUGAGUGGAAUUCCUAGUGUAGCGGUGAAAUGCGUAGAUAUUGGGAGGAACACCAGUGGCGAAGGCGGCUCACUGGACCGGUACUGACGCUGAGGCGCGAAAGCGUGGGAGCAAACAGG